GACAGAGGAUGCAAGCGUUAUCCGGAAUUACUGGGCGUAAAGCGCACGUAGGCGGUCUUUUAAGUCGGGGGUGAAAUUCCUGGAGCUCAACUCCAGAACUGCCUUCGAUACUGGAAGACUCGAGUCCGGGAGAGGUGAGUGGAACUGCGAGUGUAGAGGUGAAAUUCGUAGAUAUUCGCAAGAACACCAGUGGCGAAGGCGGCUCACUGGCCCGAUACUGACGCUGAGGCACGAAAGCGUGGGGAG
rnacentral:rRNA from 1 species